rnacentral:rRNA from 1 species
GGUCGUACGUACGUACGAAGGUUAGGGUACGUCGUACUGGGCUCAGGAUGAACGCUGGCGGCGUGCUUAACACAUGCAAGUCGAACGGGGUUAUACGGAAGCUUGCUUUGUUUAACCUAGUGGCGGACGGGUGAGUAACGCGUGAGGAACCUGCCCUUGAGUGGGGAAUAACACCGAGAAAUCGGUGCUAAUACCGCAUAAUGUCGGAGAACCGCAUGAUUUUCCGACCAAAGGAUUUAUUCGCUUAAGGAUGGCCUCGCGUCCGAUUAGGCAAUUGGUGGGUAACGGCCUACCAAACCAACGAUCGGUAGCCGAACUGAGAGGUUGAUCGGCCACAUUGGGACUGAGACACGGCCCAGACUCCUACGGGAGGCAGCAGUGGGGAAUAUUGGGCAAUGGGCGCAAGCCUGACCCAGCAACGCCGCGUGAAGGAUGACGGUCUUAGGAUUGUAACUUCUUUAAUCGGGGAAGAAUAAAUGACCUACCCGAAGAAUAAGCCACGGCUAACUACGUGCCAGCAGCUGC